ACUAUGUUCCCUCCCUGCUGUAGACUCUAGUGCACCUGCACCCACAACACAACAGAGUGCUACAGCUGACCUCACAACACAACUGACCACAGUUACCAACUCUACGACACCUGAGGUCAGCAUUACAGAACAAAUGACCAAAGUUACCAACUCUACAACAACUCCACCCACAACAGGACAAAGUACUACAGCUGACCCCACAACACAACUGACCACAAUUACCAGUAUGACGGCUAACAUAUUUUAUUUCAAAACAAAAUGGCAUUUUUGUUGUCACUAUCUGUCACAACAGAACUGACCACAUUGACCAGGCUAAGUGCAUCUGAAGGCUAUCAAAUAGUACUUUCUGAGUCAUUAUGAGUUUCUGUUAAUCUGCUUCUUUAGUUUAUCACUAUGUUACUUCUCUCUUGGUAGACUCUACUACACCUGCAGCUACAAUAAAACAGAUCAAUACAGCUGACCCCACAACACAACCGACCACAGAUACUAGUAAAUGUCAUGAACUUCUGUAUAACAAAACCUGUCUAAAGCGGACUCCACCAAACAGACCUAACAAUCUAUGUUACUUCUCUGCUGUAGACUCUACUGCACCCACAAAUACAUGAACCACUGAAUCAACAACAGCAUUAAGUACCAAAACAACACCACCAACUAUGAUAACACCACCACCAACAACAAUUGCAAAACCUGCUGGUGUGUGUAAGAAUAGAGGAUGUUUCUGAACACUUCUAGAUGAAUCCUGAUCACAUUCACCAGUAGGUGAACCAUAGUUCACCAAACAGAUCUAACAAUGUAACAGUCUGCCACUACUGUAUAUUACCGCGUUGCUGUAGCCUCUGCAACACCUAAGCCCACAACAGAACAGAGAACAACCUCCACAGGUGUUGUUCUGUGAUUCACCUACAGUUUUGUACUGUAGCUUUCACUUACU